GACAGAGGGUGCAAACGUUGCUCGGAAUUAUUGGGCGUAAAGAGCGUGUAGGCGGCCAGGUAGGUCUGCUGUGAAAACUCGAGGCUUAACCUCGAGAUGUCGGCGGAAACCAUCUGGCUAGAGUCCGGAAGAGGAGAGUGGAAUUCCCGGUGUAGCGGUGAAAUGCGCAGAUAUCGGGAAGAACACCCGUGGCGAAGGCGGCUCUCUGGGACGGUACUGACGCUGAGACGCGAAAGCGUGGGGAGCGAACAGG
rnacentral:rRNA from 1 species